UACGUAGGGGGGCAAGCGUUGUCCGGAUUUAUUGGGCGUAAAGAGCGUGUAGGCGGCUUCACAGGUCCGCUGUGAAAACUCGAGGCUCAACCUCGAGCUGUCGGUGGAAACCGUGUGGCUAGAGUCCGGAAGAGGAGAGUGGAAUUCCCGGUGUAGCGGUGAAAUGCGCAGAUAUCGGGAAGAACACCCGUGGCGAAGGCGGCUCUCUGGGACGGUACUGACGCUGAGGAGCGAAAGCGUGGGGAGCGAACAGG
rnacentral:rRNA from 1 species